rnacentral:rRNA from 1 species
UACAGAGGUGGCAAGCGUUGUUCGGAAUUACUGGGCGUAAAGGGCGCGUAGGCGGUCCGAUAAGUCCCGUGUGAAAUCCCUCGGCUCAACUGAGGAAUGGCACGGGAAACUGCCGGGCUUGAGUUCGGGAGAGGGAAGCGGAAUUCCGGGUGUAGCGGUGAAAUGCGUAGAUAUCUGGAGGAACACCGGUGGCGAAGGUGACAUCCUGGACCAACACUGACGCUGAGUGAGCGAAAGCCAGGGGAGCAAACGGG